UUUAGCAGCUAUCCUAUUUAAUUAAACAUUCCUGGCUAUGAUACAGAAAAGAUUAGCACGGCCCCUGCACAAGGAUGACACACAAUUUUGUGAAGCGUUCCGUAUUUUU
rnacentral:snRNA from 1 species